rnacentral:lncRNA from 1 species
AUGCUCCCCCUCCCCGCUUGUGGGGCCUCUGGGGCAGGGCAGCCCAGGGCUGAGAUCCAGCGCUUUCGGGUGUUCUCCUCCCAGGAGACCCGCGCUCCUGCGGCCUGGGGGGGACCGGGGGGCGGGUGCUGGGUGGUCGGGGGGGGCCGCCUCCCCGCGCGGCGCUGGCGCACAGGGCGCCCUUGCCGCAAAGCAGAUUCUCUUCCAAACUUCUCCCCUGGCUCCGGAGGGGGUGGGGAAGCGGGGCGCAGCCACAGCCAGGCUCGGGGCGCCGCGGGAGUCCCCCAGGCUUGGGCCCGCUCCCGCUGCCGCCGCACCCCGUGGCUUUGCGGGCGGGCGAGGUGCCGAGCGGCCCUGGGGCGGGGGCGCGGGGGGGCGGGGAGGGGAGGGGCGCGAGGGGCAGGGAGGGGCGCGAGGGCAGGAGCCCCGACCGCAGCGGGAGCGAGGAAGGGGCCGCGCGGGGCCGCUUCAGCACCGAGUCCGCGGACAGCGCCCGCCCGGGGCCGGGGUGCGGGCGGGGCGGCGGGGGUGUGGGGGUGUAGGGGGCGCUGGGGGCCUCCCGGGGCCGGGGUGCGGGCGGGGCGACCCGGGGGCGGGGGCGGGGGCGGGGGCGGGGGCGGGGGCCGGGGGCGCUGGGGGCUCCGCCGGGCCGGGCCGGGCGCGGCGCGGGGAGCGGGGGCCUUGCCGGGGGCCUUGCCGGGGGCCGCGGGGUGCGCGGCGCGGGGGGAGCGCGGUUACCUUCCCGGGCCGGGCGCGGCGGGCGUGCGGUCAGCGGCGGGGCGCGCUCGGGCCGGCGGGGUCCAUGUGGCGCCGGGAAUGCGGCGGCGGCUGAAGGGCACGGCGAGGAGGGCGCGUCACGUGGAGGCGCACCCGCCCCCCCGCCCGCGCCGAGCGUCACGGCGGGGGCGGGGCCGGCGGGGGCGGGGCCGGCGGGGCGCGGGGCGGGACCACGGAGCCGCCCCCGCCCGUCCCGGAGGCCCGUCCGCCCCGCCCCGCCCCGCGCUGGGAAGGGGCUCCCGCCGCGCCCACGGGGUCCCGACCCGGGCGAGGCCCCUGCGCGCCGCCCGCGACCCCGCGCCGCUCCCGGGCCCCGGCGCCCCAGGGCGGGACGAGGGCGCCCCCGACUCCGGGCCCCGCUCGCCCCGCGGAGGGAGCCGCCCGCCGCCGCCGUAUUUCUCAGAGCGGGAGCGCGCGACGGGGACGGCUCCGCGGGUCUGGGGGCGGGGCCAGCGGGCGGGGCGGGGCCAGCGGGGCGGGGGCGGGGCCGGCGGGGCGGGGGCGGGGCCGGCGGGGCGGGGGCGGGGCCGGCGGGGCGGGGCGGGGCGGCGGGUGGCGCAGGGCGGCGGCCCCCGCGGGCAGGGACGCCUGAAGGUCGCUGCGGACGCUCCGCCCCGCGGCCCCGCCCCCGCCGCCCCCUCCCCCGGCCUCCGGGAUUUCCCCGCCGCCGAGCCGCACUGCGGGGAGCGCAGGGUCGCCGCAAGGUCGAGGCCAACGGCCAGAGCCGCCCCCGCCGGCCGCGCCGGCCCCGGGACGCACCUCCCAGGACACACUGGCCUGGCUGCAGCCUCCCUGGAUCCCAGGCCCCGGUUCCGGCCCCCACAUCCUCGCUUGUCCUGCUGA